rfam:Trichobilharzia regenti genome assembly, scaffold: TRE_scaffold0003238
AUCCAGCUGGGGAACGAGCCCCAAAUAGGACGAAAUGCGCAUCCUGGAU